UGCACUUCUUGCAUCCACAAUAGUUUGGUAAC
rnacentral:piRNA from 1 species